AUCUGUCAUCAAUGCCAUGAAAGCACCAUAUCCUGUGUGAUAUUGGAAGUGAAGCAUGGUCACAUUUGGUUAGUACUUGGACAUCAGAUGCUUCAGGCUGUGUUUUAGAAAAAGGGAAUGGCAAACC
rnacentral:rRNA from 11 species